rnacentral:misc_RNA from 1 species
GAUGAAGAACGCAGCGAAAUGCGAUAAGUAAUGUGAAUUGCAGAAUUCAGUGAAUCAUCGAAUCUUUGAACGCACAUUGCGCCCGCCAGUAUUCUGGCGGGCAUGCCUGUUCGAGCGUCAUUACAACCCUCAGGCCCCCGGGCCUGGCGUUGGGGAUCGGCGGAAGCCCCCUGUGGGCACACGCCGUCCCUCAAAUACAGUGGCGGUCCCGCCGCAGCUUCCAUUGCGUAGUAGCUAACACCUCGCAACUGGNNNNNGGCGCGGCCAUGCCGUAAAACACCCAACUUCUGAAUGUUGACCUCGAAUCAGGUAGGAAUACCCGCUGAACUUAAGCAUAUCAAUAAGCGGAGGA